rnacentral:sRNA from 1 species
UGGCGCUUUUCAAAAUGAAACAACGUC